AAAGGAGCACAGCACUCAUCCAGUUCCAACCCCCUGCUGUGUGCAGGUCGCCAACCAGCAGCCCAGGCUGCCCAGAGCCACAUCCAGCCUGGCCUUGAAUGCCUGCAGGGAUGGGGCAUCCACAGCCUCCUUGGGCAACCUGUGCCAGUGCCUCACCAUCCUCUGAUGAAAAACUUCCUCCUCAUAUCCAACCUAAACCUCCCCUGUCUCAGUUUAAAACCAUUCCCCUUGUCCCAUCACCACCCACCCUCACAAACAGCCGUUCCCCGUCCUGUUUAUUCGCUCCCUCCAUGUACUGGAAGGCCACCAUGAGGUCUCCCUGCAGCCUUCUCUUCUCCAAGCUGAACAGGCCCAGUUCCCUCAACCUUUCCUCAUACUGCUCCAGCCCUCUGCUCAUCUCAGUGCCUCCUCUGGCCCCGCUCCCAGAGCUCCACGUCCUUCCUGUGCUGGGGGCCCCAGGCCUGGACGCAGCGCUGCAGAUGGGGCCUCACAAGAGCCGAGCAGAGGGGGACGAUCACCUCCCUCUCCUGCUGGCCGCCCCUUUUUCAUGCAGCCCAGAACACAGCUGGCCUUGCGGGCUGCAGGCUCAGUGUAGUUGCAGUAUUUGAUCAGUUCACAAUCAAAUCUAGCAGCCAGGCUAGCUUUUGUUUUCAACUGAGUGUCUCUCAAAGCACAAAGAGCUGGAUCAGUUUUGGUUUCUGCCAUUUUCGUUAAAAUAUGUGCGUUACAGAUUUGGAGUUUAGCAUUUCUUCAACCUGGAGUUCUGAACUGUCCAGUGGGGAGUAGGUGCUUAGUGCCAGAACAAGGUCACUUUACUGUUUAUCUACCUCUAUUUUCUUGCUAUUUCCAUUUGCUCUUGUCCAGGUGGUGGUUUCAGCCAAACAGUCAUACCUUCUGUUUCACCAAAUCUCUCUGUGUUGCAGCAUUUAAAACCAUUUCAGAGGUUUGCUUACUGCUCAUAGUGGGUUUUAAAUUCCAACAGCACUAUAAAUUAUAAUUUGUAGUUUAACCCCUAGUACUCUUGCCUGUUCUUCUGCAGUAAAAUCGCAGAUGAACUCCACUGCCUUCCAUCACCUGUGACUAUGACACAUGCCUUUUCUCAACCAUUUAUGCAUUUAUAUACAGCAGGGUAACUCCUAAGGCUAAAAAGGACUGCUCCUGUACAGUUUAUUAUUGACAUUUUCAAUACUGCUAACACUACUGCUAUUCAAGUAAGAGCUUUUCCAUUCCCUCUUUCAGCAAGACAAAAAUUAAGCCAAUGCUGGUAAUACUAAAAAAAAUCAUGCCACUCUUUAGUAAGACAGAAGAAGGGAUAAAAUUGAAAGAACUGCACAAUUUCACAGAUCAUGGGACCUGGCUUGUUUGUGUUUUUCUUGUGGAGAAGCACUGACUUGUUACUAAUAGGUUCAAGGCUGGCCAGGACGUGAGCUUUGGACAGAGUCACCCAAUCACCAUUCGACCUAUUUAGUGAUAAAAAGGAAAAUUCUGGUUUAUAUAAAACACAGAAUAAAUUGCACUGACCUGUAGCCUAUACUGUUCACUGGAUGUGGAAGGAUUUUGACAGAUUAGUGUGUAUUCCUUUCAAUUAGAGUAGAAAGUAUUCCUGCAUUGGGAGUUCACGUUGCCAGUAUUUCUGGUAAUAAAAAAAACGUUACAUAUUCAAGCACUAGCAGGGAAGUAAUUUCAAAUGUUAAAAUUAAUUCCCAAAGUUGCUUAAUUCUCAGUACUCAGUUUUUUAGGUAACAGCAAAACAGGAGUGUGGAGGACUUAUUGAAUUUAUACUCGUUUUUUUUCUUACUGAAGAAAGAGGUUUGUUUUAUUCAGACAUCAGUGUGAACUGGAGUGAUGGUGGCAGUUGCAUACUGCAGAUCAAAGAUCUCAGUCUCUUUCAUUUCUUACUUGGAAGAGCUUCCAUUUUCCAGAAGAAGCUGCUGCACUUCACACAGCUUUUGCAGUGAAGAUGCUGGGGCUGGAGGCAUUUGAGACUACUGUGAUCAGCACAGGGCAAGAUGGGUGGCAUGAGUAAAGAUGUCACUGCAAUUCAGUGUAAACUCUACUACCAUGUUUCCAGACUGAAGAUAGAAAGGAAUUUUAACAUAGGCAAAACAAGUGAGUCUUGCUUCCAUCCCCCUGCAUACAUUCCUCAAGGGACCUUUCAUUUUCUAAGCUUACAUUGAAUCCCAGUGUCACUAGAGUGAAGACUACAAGGAUUUAAAUAGCGACAGAAAACUGGGAGGGAAAGAAUUUGGUAUCAGGUCAGACUGAGAUUUUUAACAAUUAUUUUAGAACAGAGUGCAUUUAUCAAAAAUUUGUAUUACUUUUAUGGGCAGCAGUGAUCAUGCUGCUUAAUGCUGCAUUAAAAUACAUUUAAACCUGCUAUCCAUGUGUUUUGCCACAAUCUAAUUGCUGUGUAGUCGAGAUAUCUGGAAGCUGUUGCUGUAGAGUCAACAAGUGUUUGCUUCGGGUUUAAAUACUUCUAGGCUGCAUGAGGGAACUGCAUGAUUCAGACUGCUGAGCUUGCUGGUGAUACAUCAGUGUAAAUACUUAUAACAAGUGGAAGAACAACCCCUUUCUUACACGGAUGCAAAUCAUUCCCUUUUCAAGAAUCACACUGAGCUAAUGCUGCAACAAGGGAAGAGGAAUCAGGCUAAUUGACAGCUUCUGUGGCUGAUUACAGAGCAUAAACCACAAAAAACAGAGCAAAUACGAACUUCAAAAAACACUGAUUGCCAGCUGGGGAGUAGUAUCAGCAGUAAUUGGAUUAUAAGUAGUAGUUGCACAACACUUAAAAUCAAACCACUGCCUCCUGUGGCUUAAUGAAAAUCAUUAGGUUAAUGUGAAAUCACACUUUUGAGUUGAAUUCUCUUAGCAGAUGUUAGGAAUUAAUAUGUUAUUCCUGCAGUGGAGUUGGCAGAAAAGAGGCAUCUUCACUUCUCUGUUGUGUGUCUAUUUUCUUAAGCAUAGUUAAACUUUGCAGAUUAAGAUCUCAGGGAUCUCCAAAACAAGAAAAAAAAAGAAAAAAGAAGACAGAGAGUAAACACUUGAUAUGAGGCAGGCGUACACCCUGUGUUGCUAACUGCAGGAAGGCACCAUGGCUCACACCUAUUGAUUACUGGCCAUUCCACAUUCCUAAUGCUUUUUUCUUUGUCUGUAAAUUUGCAGUAGCCUUCUGGUUGCUAUGGCAAUUAAAUUACACCAAACAAAAUGAUUUGGUUGUUAUUUCCAGAUGCUAAGAAAGCAGUAUGUGGACCCAGUUGAGAAAUUGUGGCUGUUUUUCAGAUGAGUGAGCUGCCAAGUCGCAUCUCUGUUGAAACUGAAGACAGCUUCGCUAUGAGCAGUAUUAUUGCACUUAAAAUAACUUCCUAAAUAAAGUUCCAAGUAUAUAGAAAGCACGCACAAAGAACCUUUAAAUCUCUGCUGUCAGGAUUUCUGUUACAUCUGGUUAUAUUUUCUGACUACCUUUAAUUUCAGCAUAAUCACUGGCUGGUCCAUGCACUGAUUUCGCUGUAGCCUGUCACCCUCACUGCUAUGAGGUGAGGAAGAAAUAGUAUUUUACCUGCUUUCUAAGCACACAGUUGAGACGUUCCCUGGUUUAAUUUCACUCACCUACAAGAUUGUCCCAGCAAGCAGGUGACAGAACUCUCCUCCCAUUAAUCAGAUCUCUAUCAUUUAUCUUACAGAUUUUUAUUUAACACGCUUGCAAACACCCCUUAACUUCACUCAGAGAAAAUACCUUAAUCAGAUUGAGUUACUGUGACUUUCUCUUUUGUAAGUCUUGUAUUAUCUCUUACCCCCCUGCCUUUUUUUUCCCCACAAAGUGGUUAUUGAAUCAACUGUAUCUUAAGGCUUUUGCAUGUAGAUUUUCCAUGGAAAUAAGCCUGCUUUUGCUGCCUCUUCUGUUAGAUCAAGCUUGGUACGUCCUUCAGGGUUCUACUCUCAGUCUGCUGGAGCAUGUGGUGGAAUCAAUCCUUUUUUAAGCUGCACACACACAUACACACAUAGCCAAAUACACCCAAAACUCAGCAUAUGUAUGUAUACUGAAACAGUAAAUCCUCAAUGGGAGACAAAGCUGGAGGGAAGAAGGGAAGAAAACUACCUCAGGAAAGUGCAAAAUGAGGCACUGUCUCUCUUCAGCAGCCCCAGAGCAUGCUAUUUUUUAGUCCAUGAAUGACAAGGAGGCAGAUGUGUGUUUCAGAGAGAAGUGAGUUUUAAGAAGAAUAAAAAGUCUGUGUGCACAGGGACUUUUCAGUAUAUAUCAUUUACUGUAAAUUAAAAAAAAAGAACGUUCAGCUUUAGCCUAGUUACAGUUACUGUAGUACAAAACUCUAUUUCAGAAGCUUUUAAAUUGCUAGAAGAUGAGCUGCAAAGCAACUUUCCUCUGUCUUAUAAACUUUCCAGUGUGCAGACAGAAAAAGCUGGUUUCUGGUUUCAUUCUAACUGUACUGAUGCAUCACAGAAAAACAGCAGAAACACAUGUAAUGAAAGCGUAUACCUUUACUAGCAGUUAGGCUGUUGCUAUGUAAGAAUCCAAAAACAAAUAGUUCAAUUGCUGGGGUUUUACUUACAGGCCUGGGGAAGAUCUUCAGCAUAGCAGAUUUCCCUCUCCAGCACCUCUUGGCAAGGAGGUCCUCUGGUGUAAGACUGGCUCCUUAGAAGCACAUUCUUUGUUCCCCCUGAGGUUCAGCAUCAGCCUCACUCAGUUGUUUCAGCAGAAAGCAGAAGUCCCCGCUGCGUUGCACCUUCCUGUAAAGUGACAUCAAGGAGUAGAAAGCUCAAGAAAGACAUUAAGACCUGCACUCAUUUUUUCUGUUUCUUCACAGACUUCACAACAUGCUUUGCCCUUUCUCCACAUUCUCUUUCCACCACUCGUUUCUAUGUUCUUUCCUCAGCUGACGCUCCAUUUGAAGCACAUGCUUCUCUCUUUUGCUCCGUUCUUAGGACACUUAAACUCUUCUAUGACUUAAGCAAUUCCUAAGCUACUCUUCUCACAGCUAUCUGUACCACACAGUCCUGUUUGUGCCGGACUGAUUACCACUGUUCCAUAGUUCUGCCAACAAAGCAGCUCCUCCAACUGCUUCCAAAUCACAGCUUGAAUAGUUUAAAGUAUUUUUUAGACUGAACUUACUGAUGUCUGAAACAGGAAAGCUAACUCCAGUGAGCUUUUCCAAAAGCAAAUUUCACAAUAGAAGCUGUCAGUCACCUCACUAGUAAUAAAUUGCAACUUCAGUUGGAAAACGCUCAGCAAAGGCACUUCCAUCUGCAAUCUGCCUGCAUCCUCUUCCUUUUUACUUGCUGCACAUUCCUUUCAGGCUCUUGUUUCACUACCUUUGUCCUGAGGUCAGGCGGACCCUCUUUGGUUGUUGUUUGUUUUUCUCUCCUCCCUCUCCCUAUUUUUUAUUUUUAACUAAUUCAAAAUUCUAAGCAUCUUUCAAAGAGGUAAAGACAAAAAGCUUUUUAGGUACCAAGCAAAAUUCAUGCCUACUGAGUAACAAAGAUAGGUGAAAUUAAUAGCUUCAGUGACGCUAACUUGUUAAGAGAUACAGAUUACACAUCCUUUCAUUAAAACCUGGAUUACAGCAAAUAAAACUGAAUACUGUUCUUAUUUGCCUAGUCAGCUAUACAUAGAUCUCAUCAAAUCCCAAAUCACCCCCUCCAUCCACCAGUCGGUGCCAGAAUGAAGUAUUUAUCCUGACAUCCUGCGUAAUGGAAGAUGUAAACAUCACCCAACGGCUUCUGCACCAAACCAACAUCUUCACUUCAACCAGGCCAUAAAACACAUCAUUAGAAAGGUCUCUGAUAUUUGAAGAAUUCAAAAGGCACCCAUGGUUGGAUAAGGAGAGGAUCAGGCUGGGAGUGUCCUGCAACUCCUGCCAUUCUGUCCUGCUUUUAAACCCACGACAAUGAAAAACCUCCCUGCAGCCACAGAGAUGGAGGAGAGCCUGCAUGCCAGGCCACCUUCUGCUGUCCCUUCUUGCUCCCAAGAAUCCACAAAUUGGAUUAGAGAAACUGACUUAAGUAACUCUAUGUCAUGGCUGUGUAAUCCUUCUGUGAACCUAAAGAUACAGCUCUCACUUUUAGAGUACAGUACCAAACUCAAUAUGCCUUUUUAUCUGGUUUAGAGGUCAGUACUCAGUUAUUUUGCCACUGUAUCUUUCUGGACAGGCCACUGUGAAUGAUGAGUGCAGGCAGAGAAGUGGGGCACAGUUCUAGAAGCAGCUUUGAACCCUUCUAGUCCUCCAUAUAGAAAUUUGUCUUGGCAAUGUUACUUUUAGUGUGAAGUUAACCAACACAGAAGCAUUGGAAUCAAAUUGUAACAAAGACACCUCUUGCUAAGCAUGAGCACUGUCUAAUGACUGAAGAGGAUCCAGUGUUUUAUUCCCCCCUCCUUCCAUUCCCUAAACUUGUUAACCAAGAAAAACUUCCAGAGCAGGUUUCAAAUGCACACAUCCCAGGAGGAGAUGUACCAGCAGGGAGGGAGCUGUGCUUUCCAACUCAUCCCAACUGGAAAUGAUGCUCUGAGCACCUGUGCUAUGACCAGUCAUUAAAAUGUUCCAGAUUCUGAUUUAAGUCUGCAAUGCUACUUUCAUUUUCCUGUUUUCAGGUUUGCUGCAAAGAAUGCAAGUAGAUGCAAAAACACUGUUUUUAACAAUAGGAAAGAAAUCUUCUUAGGCUGUUGGACUGAAAGGCCUGGAAUGGUUGAGAAUCUCCAGUGAUUUCACAGAUGAUCCAUGUAUUUGUAUAGAUCACUGGAUUUUGUCUUCUAUCUAAUGUAAAAUCUGCAAUGACAGCAGGAACAAUUUCACACCAAUACAGCAGUCUGCAUUUUAGUGCACGGUGCUGUAGAAAUGGAGGUCACAGUCUCCAAAGAGCCUGAGAGGGAUACUUGUGUUGUUGAAUUUCACUGCAAAUGGAAAAGAUUUAUGCCAUGAUCAGAAGUGUAGCUCUUUCCAGAGGGAGAUUCUCAAGCAAUUAUCACUGGUAAAGCAGUUUUUAGCUCUACUAGCCAUUAAUUUAGUUAGUCUUUUCUAAUUGCUUUUAUGACCAGUGCCUCAGGUGCAGCUGAUAGCUGCACAAUCCAGCCAAGCUCCUGCUUCCUCAUCUCCUGGAGACGAACGUUCUUCUGCUAUUCUGAUUUAGGACUCAGACUGCAAAACAGUGACAGCUCCUAAACACAGCGUAGUGUCGUGCUGUGUUUUACAGAAAACAGUCCAUAGGUUGAGGUUUCAAGUCUUCAAGUUUGUUGGUGUUUUGCUUUGUUGGUUGGUGGGGUGUUUGUUUCCACAGGAAACUUAGUGCCAUGAUCUCUUUCUAGAGCAUAGAACUAUCAGUGUGAUAGUUAUUUUUUUUCAAUGUAUCUUACUUUCUAAAAGCUACCAAAAAAUAAAAUUAAAAAAAAAAAAAUCAAGUUUAAAAACAGUAAUGCAUCAUUAGUAGUGCUUGAGCUCCUGAAACACUGAAUUCAACAUUCUAACAACAUAUAUUGUAUGAUGUGGGCCUUUCACAAAACACUGGGUACAUAACACAACCUUGUUUUUCUGACUGAUUUGAGAACAGUUAAUGUCAACCUGCAACUUUUUCUUUCCCACUUAUAAAUGGUUUUACAACUGCUGUGCAGAGCAGCAGCAACUGUCAGCUUUUCCAGCGUGGUUUGAACCGUGCUCUUCACAAAAAUCCAGUUUCCUGGGUCUAACUGCUUGUAAAUACGAUGCUGCUGGUGUCCAGAGGAAUAUCUGCUGUUGAUGGUUUCUCUCCUGCCCUCUGGAAUCCUCCAGCAGUGUCAUGCAAGCAGUGGCUCCACUGGAACUCGAGCAUAAUUCUCCCAUUAAAUGAUUUCUGAGCAGCAAAGCGCACGCUUCUACAUCCUCCGUGCUGGGUUUGCCUCGUUACACUGGUACAGGUUGCUCAUUUAUCCCCUUUGCAAAGAGCAGCAGCAGAUCUGGAUUUUGUUCUCACUCGAAAUACAGCUGGAAACAGCCUCCCUCGGGUUGGGUCAGUGUUGGUGACGACCUCAACUCCGUGCUGUUCUGCACACUCUGCUGACCUUCACCAUCCCCUGCGGCCUCUUCUGUUGUCGCAAGGAUGUCUGAAAAUGUUUUAGCUUGUCAAUGUAACCAGUCCCUCUCAUACUGCAUUUUUCUUUUCAAUUCUGUAGAAAUAACAGAUGGUCACACCAAAACCACCAACACUUGGGUGCUGGUUGCUCCUCUUCCAAGACAAACCCAAAAGAAACAUGCAUUCCACGCAGUCAUGCCAGUUUCACCAAAAUCUUUUGGUGAAAAUUAAGCCUUCUUUGAAAUGCUGACAUUUUCUCAAACAUUUCUUUUUCAUUCAUAUUGUUUCAGAAAGAACAGCAAAUGUUUGUAAAUAAAUGUUGCUUUAAGAAAAAAAAUAACCGAAAAGAAUACUUGAUUUACUUACCGGCCUACUGACUGCACACUGUGGCACCGUAUGACUCUUUAGAAUUCUUUUCCUAUAAAUUCCAUAUUAUACAAGAAUCCAUAUUUAAAUGAAUUGUGUGAAAGUUGAGAGGCUGCAAGGGGGUGAUGUUUGUGAUCUACAACAAAAGGAGGAAAAAAAUGAAGAGUCUGCCAUGAGAUCAGCUGAAAGAGAAAGCCACCUCUGGUUUGUCUUACAGCAUCAGCUGAAACAGAGUUGUGUUUAUGACAGAGCAGGUCUGCAAAAUUCAGUGGGAUUUCUUUUGCCGUUGUGCCCAAAAGGCAAGGUUGUAAUUGCAAGUAUGGUGUGCAAAUAAAAAUUCCUACUGCUCUGUG